CAGAUCUGGAUGUUAUUUGAAAUUGUGAAUGAUUGAGUUCUUAGUUUUCCUAAGUUUGAUUAAGUUCUUUGUGGGAGUGAUAUUGAUAAAAAAGGCAUGCUCUCUGUGCAGUUUUACUUGCAAACAUGAGAGCUGCUCUAGAUGAUGAUAACAUUUGGUAUGGGAAAAGAAAUGGGCUUCUUAUGGUCUAAAUAUUUGCUUCCAUAGGUGGUGGAAUGGUCUAUCCUGAUCCCUCUAAGAAAGAAAAGGAUAGAUGGCUGGGUUUAUUUAAAAGUGCUUCCACAUGAUCAUUGAAUAUGAGGGUGUCAUGUGUCCAAAUGUCUUACACUCUGCAAAGAAUGGGAUAUGGAGAGUCACUUCAUGUAACUUGAAAAUCUGCAACAGUAGUUUGGGAGUUAAAACUCCACUGUUGGCUUUGCUUAGUCUCAGAUUUCUUUCGCUGGUCAAGUUUGAAAACUUGUUUAUAUACCAUUACCGUACCUUGCCAUAUGGCAAAAUAAUGUUGCAUGGAUACCUGCUGCUCUAAUUGCAGCAACAUGGGAAGCAUGCAGUGGCAGAAUCCCUGAGGGAAAAGAAAUUCAUACGUGGAAAUUUGAAGUUGCAGUGAAUAUUAAAAAUUUUCAAUUCAAUAGAUUAUAGAUUGUAGAAUACAAAGUAAAUAAUCAACCAGAGGCUGGUAGACAUAGAAGUCAGCAUGAUGUUGGGAAGGGCAAACUUCAAUGAUGGAGAAAAACUAGCCUUUUCAGUUCAAGAAAAUCCAAAACAUUUUCUCAGAUGUUUAAUUGGUAAAACAUCAUCUUUUAAUUGCAGAUCAAUGGAUACAAGACUUUUAACCACUAAAUUCAGCACAUACCUUUUUUGGGUAAAUGCUUUCAUGUCUUGCUGGUCAAAGCUAAUUACUUUGAAUUUUAGUUUCCUCAUCUUGUUUGGUUUGUAAGUUAGAUUUGUUAAUAACAGUCUCCUCUGUUGUUGGGCAUGUGGUAAGUCUUUGUGUAGAUCCUAUUAGUGAAAGAUUGUUGUUUCCUUGGUUCAGUUGAAAGGAAUAUUGUAACAUAAAUCCUGUGAGAAAUAAAGGACUAUUUGAAAACUAAAGCCUUGUAAAUCUUUAAGAAAGUAGCAUG
rnacentral:lncRNA from 1 species